rnacentral:rRNA from 1 species
CCUACGGGAGGCAGCAGUGGGGAAUUUUCCGCAAUGGGCGAAAGCCUGACGGAGCAAUACCGCGUGAGGGAGGAAGGCUCUUGGGUUGUAAACCUCUUUUCUCAGGGAAGAAGUUCUGACGGUACCUGAGGAAUAAGCAUCGGCUAACUCUGUGCCAGCAGCCGCGGUAAUACAGAGGAUGCAAGCGUUAUCCGGAAUGAUUGGGCGUAAAGCGUCCGCAGGUGGUUUUAUAUGUCUGCUGUUAAAUCGUGCAGCUUAACUGCAUACAGGCGGUGGAAACUAUAAGACUAGAGUACGUUCGGGGUAGAGGGAAUUCCCAGUGUAGCGGUGAAAUGCGUAGAGAUUGGGAAGAACACCAGUGGCGAAGGCGCUCUGCUAGGACUGUACUGACACUGAGGGACGAAAGCUAGGGGAGCGAAUGGGAUUAGAUACCCCAGUAGUCCUAGCCGUAAACGAUGGAUACUAGGCGUUGUCUGUAUCGACCCGGACAGUGCCGUAGCUAACGCGUUAAGUAUCCCGCCUGGGGAGACGCGAGCGACGUGUGAACGUACGUAAGUAGUAAGUUAGUUACGGUACGUUGAGACGUUGCCGACGGACGACGACGAGGGAGGAGG